rnacentral:lncRNA from 1 species
AAAUAGAUUAGGGAAAUUCUCAGUCAACAUGGGUAAUAAUUUUUAAUAAUAUAGAUGUAGAGAUUAAAUUGGAUUGAUUAUGGUAAAUUCAUAUGUUCUAUUGUCUUAAUCUCUUGAUGAUUUUUGUUACUACUUCCAUCUUUAUUUUAAUUUUAAUUGCUUUAUUUUAUUUUAGUUUUCAACUCUACUCAUCAUUAUAUUACUUUUCUCAAAAAAUACGCUUGCUAAUUGAUGCAACACCCUAUAUUAGGAUUAUUAAAUCAAGAGUCAUAGAACAGAAGUAAAAUUAGUAUUAGGAUUAAUUAAUGUUGACAUCCCUAAACGAGAAUGAAUUUAAAUUCUAUUUAAACCAAAUAAAGAUAUCACUUUAAUUUAGUGUUUUAAUUAACUUGUAAGUAUGUCCCAUAAUCUGAAUAGUACUGUCAGAUAAUUAUCUUUUAUUAAAUUUUAUUUAUAUCUAAUUAUUUAACAGUGUUCAAAUUGUGGAGUAUGAAUACUGCCCAAAAAAAUUUUGAUUCCAUAAUUUACAUCAUUUCAUUUUGAAAAGAGACUUGAAUUAUGUGUUUUGUAAAAUUGGACUCAAUGAUAAAGGAUGCUUACCUCAAUAAGCUCACUAUAUUUGGAUAAAGGACAAUAUACCCAAUUUUUUUAAAAAAAAAAUUGAAAAACAACUCACAAACAGAUAUGUAUCAUUCGGACAACUUAUUAAUUUUCCAUGUGACGGCCGGUUGGAAGUGUUGUGGAUUCCUUAUGCCUAAGACAAUAUUUAUCGGCGGCUUACAAAUCGCAUUUUAAUAAGUACUAUCAACAUCUAAGUUAAUAUGUUGUGAAGAUAUUAACAGUUAAUUAUCUAAUAAUUUAGCAGAAGAAGAUAUUCACUGUUCAGGAUAUUCCCCACAGUCAAGUGCAUCUAAUACAAAGUAUUUAUAAACCUAAAUAAUUGAUUGACGAUUAGGUCAAAUUAAUCCAUUAUUUAAAUCUGAUUUUCGUCGGAAUACUUAUUGCAUUCGUUCACAAUUCAAUGCUCUUUUAACACACCAACUCAACGGUAAAAGUAAUGCUACAUACUUAUCCGGUAAGGGUCACCGAUUAUCAUUUGUUAUAUAUAAUGUUGGGUCUUAUGAAGUUACAACAUAUCUAACUUACAUUUACUUAUAAUUAUUUCUUUUGUAUGACUCAAUUGCUGUUAAUCAAACAAUUAAAUGGUCAUAAAAAACUACUUAUGGUUUGAUGUGAGUUAUAUAUAUUGUAACUUAGUUACUGUUUUUAAUUCCCCUAGAAUUGGCCUGGGGAGCAACUGCCCCAAACGGGUCUUAAAUGUUAACUGAUUUUAUUAUCAAUUAUUAAUAUGAUAAAAUAUCUAACACUGCAUGAUAUGUCAAAUGUCACACAUCAUUUAAGAUACAACUAUGUAUCUCAAUAUAUGUAUGUAUCUUAAGUUUGUAACAUUACCGAUUGCUUAUAUGCUCACCGAAACAAUCAUAAUUCUUAAGGAAAUUAACCAAAAUGCCAUUUGCUUUGUGAAAUUAACCAUUUCUUCUUCAUGUCUUAAAUAUUGUAAAUUAAGCUCUUCACAUCAGUGUUAAACAAUUCUUAUUCAAUCUAUUUGUAAUAGAAAAAAUUUGAUAGGUAAAAGAUGAAUGGAUGUUGACAUAAAUUUAGAGAGACAAAUGUAACAAUUAAUAGAAUUAUUAUUAACAUAAAAAUGAUUUUGAUUAAUGUCAUCAAAUAAAACAGGAGUUUCAGUCAAGAGUGAAGCUAUUGGCAUCCUUUCAUAUCCUUACGAAACUCUAUUUCAAAUAAUAUUACAGUUAGAGACAAAUAAGAAUUAAAUACACAUAGAUUUCAUUUUCCAACAAAUUACUUACAUUCGCAACCAAUCCUUUUUUUUAGGGUAAAAACCCAUUUAAGCCCUGUAUUUUAAGAUUAGUAUCCAUUUAGUCCUUAUUUUUUUAAAAAUGUCUCGAAACAUCCAUGUCGUUAAAGUAUUGAUACCCAUACCGUUAUUUUUUAUUUCUUUUGGCUUACUUUUAUAAUAUUACCCUUUUAUAAUAAUUUUUUUGUUUGGACAUUAAUAAAAAAAUUAAAUUACUAAUUUAAUGCUAAAAAAUUCUAUUAAUUUUUAAUUGUCAAAAAUUUAAUUGUCAAAAAUUGUAUGCAAACUACCAAGUGCGCAAAUGGUGCUUGCAAAAAAAUUAAUAUAAUUUUU